rnacentral:rRNA from 1 species
CCCUUUGGGGUGUGACUGCGUACCUUUUGUAUAAUGGGUCAGCGACUUAUAUUCUGUAGCAAGGUUAACCGUAUAGGGGAGCCGGAGGGAAACCGAGUCUUAACCGGGCGUUAAGUUGCAGGGUAUAGACCCGAAACCCGGUGAUCUAGCCAUGGGCAGGUUGAAGGUUGGGUAACACUAACUGGAGGACCGAACCGACUAAUGUUGAAAAAUUAGCGGAUGACCUGUGGCUGGGGGUGAAAGGCCAAUCAAACCGGGAGAUAGCUGGUUCUCCCCGAAAGCUAUUUAGGUAGCGCCUCGUGAAUUCAUCUCCGGGGGUAGAGCACUGUUUCGGCUAGGGGGCCAUCCCGGCUUACCAACCCGAUGCAAACUGCGAAUACCGGAGAAUGUUAUCACGGGAGACACACGGCGGGUGCUAACGUCCGUCGUGAAGAGGGAAACAACCCAGACCGCCAGCUAAGGUCCCAAAGUCAUGGUUAAGUGGGAAACGAUGUGGGAAGGCCCAGACAGCCAGGAUGUUGGCUUAGAAGCAGCCAUCAUUUAAAGAAAGCGUAAUAGCUCACUGGUCGAGUCGGCCUGCGCGGAAGAUGUAACGGGGCUAAACCAUGCACCGAAGCUGCGGCAGCGAACGUAUCACUUAAAGCGAUUCAGCGGGUUACGAUUGACGGAGCGAAGCGACGUCAAAGCGUAUACAAAGUCGAGUCGGUUUAAGGAUACGUUCGUUGGGUAGGGGAGCGUUCUGUAAGCCUGUGAAGGUGGCCUGUGAGGGUUGCUGGAGGUAU